rnacentral:rRNA from 1 species
AACGAACGCUGGCGGCAGGCCUAACACAUGCAAGUCGAGCGAGCAUUUCGGUGCUAGCGGCGGACGGGUUAGUAACGCGUGGGAACGUGCCCUUUGCUACGGAAUAGUCCUGGGAAACUGGGGGUAAUACCGUAUGUGCCCUUCGGGGGAAAGAUUUAUCGGCAAAGGAUCGGCCCGCGUUGGAUUAGGUAGUUGGUGGGGUAAUGGCCUACCAAGCCGACGAUCCAUAGCUGGUUUGAGAGGAUGAUCAGCAACACUGGGACUGAGACACGGCCCAGACUCCUACGGGAGGCAGCAGUGGGGAAUCUUAGACAAUGGGCGCAAGCCUGAUCUAGCCAUGCCGCGUGGACGAUGAAGGCCUUAGGGUUGUAAAGUCCUUUCAGCUGGGAAGAUAAUGACGGUACCAGCAGAAGAAGCCCCGGCUAACUCCGUGCCAGCCGCCGCAGUAA